UUUUAGCUUGGGGUUGACACAAGAAUUUGCAACACGCAACCAGAUGAACAACACGGGCCAACAGCCGAACUCCACUGCACCACCUCCACAGGAACCUAUCACCGCAAGUGUUGCAUCUCAUCCUACGGUAGAGUGCACAGCUCCAGGGGCAGUGGCUGGGCCAAAGCACCAAGUGCAGGAGCCACUUGUUCAACAGGGCCAGUCGUCGUGAAUUUACUUCAGCACCAUGUUUGGUUACCCAACUACUUUGUUGCCACACGUUUAUGUUCUCUGGAUGUGGGUUUUUAGGUGCUCCCAGGGGACGCGAUGAGGUGUUGUUCCAAUAUGCUGGGCGGACUGUAAAGUGGGCACAAUUCCAAACCCUAAGGGAGGGGUCGAAUGUGUCCAGGACUGUUGUUGAUGCCUGGUGAUAUGUCAUGAAUGCCCGGGAGAAGAUGAUCACAACUGGUGGCGUGACCCGACUAUUUCUACCCACUAGCACGACGAGUGGGACCGUUGUUUCAACAUCAGCCAGCGAAGAUGCGAGGAUCACCUGGUUUGAAAGGCGCAUGGAUGUGGAGUUGGGGAGGAUGGGUCGUGGGCAGACCGCCGAUGUGGAUUUGGUGAUGUACCCUAGUCGCUAAUAUAAUUGCAACAACACAUAACCUCAAUGGAUUAAUCCUCCUUUUUAAUCCCAAUGCAGUUUAUUUUCCAAAUUAUCAGUUUAAAGGAUCCCCGAUUUGACAUCAUUGACAGUUCGUCUGCGAAGAAGACUAACAAAGAGAUGUAUGGGGGGGGGGAGGCACCGGAACAGCUGAUCAUGUGCCUAGGUGCGUACCUGGACUCCAAGCUGCAAGGGCUUCGCAGUGCACGCCUACAAGUGAUGAAACCGAAGAAGAUGCAGAUGGCGUGGAGGGAUACCACAUCAACGUCGGAUUCUGGGGUCUUCACGAUGCGGCACAUGGAGUCAUACGCUGGGCAGGGGUGUGCGAGUUGGGAUUCUGGCCUGCAGCGGGGGAAUGCCAUGCAACUGCUAAACUUAUGCAAGCGCUACAUGCAUAAUAUCCUGCUUAGCGUGGUUAACACCCAUACAAACAGCAUUGCAGCGCGCGUUUCGGGGUUUGAAGGUAAAAGAUUGGCAGAGAUGCAUCGGUGAUCGUUACGGGGGGCGGAAGUAAAUACAUUUUGCUAGUAGUUAGACCUCCAAUCUGGGGGAGUUUUUCUUUUUUGGGUUCAGCAGGUACGGGGUAGCUCAGGCGGGUAUAUUUGGUUGUUUUGGUUAAAUUAUCUUAGUUGUUGAUGGAUGUUGAAUACUUAUUCUAGUAGUACAGUUGGGCAA